AUCGGGGCCUUGGGGAGUAGACACUGCCAUCUUUUCCUGGGGGUCUGUGUUUCAAUCAAAGAGUCUCCUUGGAGACAGAAGCCCCAAGAAGCCACGGAGACUAGAGCCGCUGGAGGCCGUGGGUCCUGGGAGCUCAAGUGCAGCCCCGUGGUGAAAUUCAUCUAGCAAGCACUACUGUGAGCUUCCCCUAAAAAAGAGUUAACUGUGACCCCAGGAUCUCUAUGGUGGAUGCAUUGUCUUUGGACACCAGGCAGGCUCUCCUUCAGGGUUCUAUCUGGCAAAGGGACACGUGGAGAUGGGGACCAAGAGGAGGAGGCAUCCUGGACGUCACCAGGUGCCCCAUCCACGGCGAGGGAAGCCUGGACCCGGCUCUGCUGUCACUCAGAACAGGUCGGGGACUCCGGUGACCACGUCCCUGCCCGCUGCAUGCUUGGAAAGCACUGCCUUUGCCAGAAGCCGAGGCGAGAAGGCUCCCAAAGCAGACACCGACCCCCGAGUAGCACUGGUCUCCACGGGCCACCCCGGGAGCUGUAGGGCGAGGCCCACCCGCGCGCCGUACUGCGCAUGCGUCAGUCGGCUGAGCAGGAGGCCGCCCGCGCAGCCUCGCUCCCGUCCGGUCGCCGUGGCAACGGGCUCGCGGGGGGAGGGGCCGCGCCGCGGCGGCUGCUAUUUCUGCUGCUUCCUGUUCCUUGCGGCCACGUCGCCAUGGCAACGGAGUUACUCAGCUCGGCCGCCUCUCGGCUCGGCUGGUGCGCGUGACCCCGGCCGCUCGCGCCCCCUCGUCCCCCUCCCGCACCCUCCCCGGUGCCCGCGGCCGGCAGGGAGGCAGAUUGAUGGGCGACGCUUAUUAAAACACAGUGGAAGCGUUUCCGUUUUUAUGACGCUGACGAGGCAGCGUUAUUUACUGUUAUUGUUCGCCCUGGCCGCCCGGGAGCUCACCUUCGGCCAGUCCCAGGACGGCGCGUGGCACCCCGGGGUCCCACCUAUUCUCAGAGCCCCUUCUCCCGCGACAGCCGUGGAGAGGGGCCGCACAGGCCCAGGGGCUCAUGCUUGAAGGAGAAAAAGGCGACAAAAAUAAAUAAAUAAAAGAGAA